UUGUCAUCCCCGGGGAGCCAGUGUUGGCUGAGAGGGGCAGGUCAUGCUGCCCGACCCGUUGAACCUGAACCCGUUAACACGGGCGGAGGGAGGGCCCGGUCUGUCGCU
rnacentral:ncRNA from 2 species